rnacentral:rRNA from 1 species
UACGGAGGGAGCUAGCGUUGUUCGGAAUUACUGGGCGUAAAGCGCACGUAGGCGGCUUUUUAAGUCAGGGGUGAAAUCCCGGGGCUCAACCCCGGAACUGCCCUUGAAACUGGAGAGCUAGAAUCUUGGAGAGGCGAGUGGAAUUCCGAGUGUAGAGGUGAAAUGCGUAGAUAUCGGGAGGAACACCAGUGGCGAAGGCGACUACCUGGCCUGUUCUUGACGCUGAGGCGCGAAAGCUAGGGGAGCAAACGGG